rnacentral:rRNA from 1 species
UACGGGGGGGAGCAAGCGUUGUUCGGAUUUACUGGGCGUAAAGGGCGCGUAGGCGGCCACCGCAAGUCGACUGUGAAAUCUCCGGGCUUAACCCGGAAAGGUCAGCCGAUACUGCGGGGCUAGAGUGCAGAAGGGGCAACUGGAAUUCUCGGUGUAGCGGUGAAAUGCGCAGAUAUCAGGAGGAACACCUGAGGCGAAGGCGGGCUACUGGGCCGAUACUGACGCUGAUGUGCGAAAGCCAGGGGAGCGAACGGG